rnacentral:rRNA from 1 species
UACGGGGGGUGCGAGCGUUGUCCGGAAUCACUGGGCGUAAAGGGCGCGUAGGCGGUUUGGCAAGUCGGGUGUGAAAUUUCGAGGCUCAACCUCGAAACGCCACUCGAUACUGCCAUGACUGGAGUCCGGUAGAGGAGUGCGGAAUUCCUGGUGUAGCGGUGAAAUGCGCAGAUAUCAGGAGGAACACCAACGGCGAAGGCAGCACUCUGGGCCGGUACUGACGCUGAGGAGCGAAAGCGUGGGGAGCAAACAGG